AAUUAUUCAAGAAGGAAGCUGAGUUUGAUACGCUGAGAUCAAGACUCUUCUUGUCCUCUCCCGUCCUCAGCACGAGAAUGAAGGGAGACCGAGGAAGCGAUGCUGAUAUUGCCAUGGAGCUGGGAGCCAGCAUCCCACAGUGGACAACCAUCCACACGGGCCCGUCUGUGCUGUGCCGCGUGGGGCCAGGGAUCACUCCUGAGACAGAUGCCUUUCACGAUGGAGACGUGUGACUUGCAUAGGAAAUUUGUAUUUCCGAGCUCGGUGAUGGAGGCGGACAGACUUUGUCAUUGCCUGGAAGACAAUGAGGUUGUGCUGGAAUCACCAGCAGGACAGAUCGACUUGUGCAGCUCAGGAGCAGAUAAAUUGACUGCAUUGUGCAAAGUGAGUGACUUGUGAGCCCCGAGGCACAAAAAGGAUCUCUGGGGAAUGAAAGGACUCUGGAAAGGUGAAAACACAAAAGGAUGAGAGUAUCGGAGAGUGUCCUGCGCUGAAAGGGACCCACAAGGAUCAUCGAAUCCAACUCCUGCCCCUACAUAGAACAACCCCCAAAUUCGCACCAUGUAUCUGAAGGCAUUGGCUAAAGGCUUCUGGAAGAUUCUGAAGGCUUGGCAUGAUGACUACUUCCCUGGGGAGCUGCUCCAGUGCUCCACCACCCUGAGUGAAAAACCUUUUCCUAAUGUCCAGUCUAACCCUACCCUGGCAUCUUCCUGCCAUUCCCAACAGGGGAGAAGGUGUCGUUUCAAAACCUGUUGGAGAGAUGGUUUUGCCAAACCUUUCCAGGGGAAAGAGAAGGGAAAGAACCUGCAUCAAAGUGAAGCUUCAAAGUAAAGCAUCAAAACAACAAUGAAAAAACUCUGGGAUUUCAGUGGAGGCUGAAGUGGAGAGUGAAAACACAAGGGAGCUGCUGCUUCACUCCUGCAGGACGUUCGGGAAUCCGGGCUCACGCCUCAUUUUGAGAUGAACCCAGGCUAUGAAGUUAAAAAUUACUUUGGAAUGUUUGUAAAGAUCUAGGGAUUUAGAGGGAAACCCCAUGAGCAAGGAGGGAAGAGAGUGGGAAGGUAAAUAUCUGAAGACUAGCAGAAAGGCUCCUAUCAGUUUUGAGAGAUUAGAUAAGACAGUUUUUAGUGUCUUGGGAGAGAAGCCUCUGCUGACUGGCUGCUCUGUUACCUGCUCAUGUCUCUGGGCCACGCUGACCCCAGGGUGCUCCCUGGGAUGGUUGGGAAGUGAGUCCUGAGACACAGCUUUGGCGUUGAUGUUCCCUUUGAUCCCUUCUGCAAAAAGUGGGACGAGAUCUCCAGCAGCAAC